rnacentral:rRNA from 1 species
CACGUAGGGCGCAAGCGUUGUCCGGAUUUAUUGGGCGUAAAGAGCUCGUAGGCGGCUUGUCGCGUCGUCUGUGAAAUCCCGCGGCUCAACCGCGGGUCUGCAGUCGAUACGGGCAGGCUAGAGUUCGGUAGGGGAGACUGGAAUUCCCGGUGUAGCGGUGGAAUGCGUAGAGAUCGGGAAGAACAUCAGUGGCGAAGGCGGCCUGCUGGGCUGUUGCUGACGCUGAGGCGCGACAGCGUGGGGAGCAAACAGG